GGAUAAAUGACUGAGUGGUUUAAAGUGUCAAUUUUGAAAAUUGAAGUAAAUUAAAUAUUACCGAAGGUUCGAAUCCUUCUUUAUCCA
rnacentral:tRNA from 1 species